ensembl:snRNA U6 U6 spliceosomal RNA
GUUGUUGCUUCUAUAGAAUAUACACUAAAACUAGAAUCCCACAGAGAAGAUUAGCUUGGCCCCUACACAAGGAUAAAUGCAAAUUUGUAGUGUUCCAUAUUUAU